rnacentral:rRNA from 1 species
UACGUAGGCAGCAAGCGUUGUUCGGAGUUACUGGGCGUAAAGGGUGUGUAGGCGGUUUGAUACGUGUGGUGUGAAAUCUCCCGGCUUAACUGGGAGGGUGCGCUACAAACUGUCUGACUAGAGUGUGGGAUGGGUAAGUGGAAUUCCUGGUGUAGCGGUGAAAUGCGUAGAUAUCAGGAGGAACACCGGUGGCGAAGGCGGGACUCUGGGCCGAUACUGACGCUGAGGAGCGAAAGCGUGGGGAGCAAACAGG